rnacentral:rRNA from 1 species
GUGGGGAAUAUUGGACAAUGGGCGCAAGCCUGAUCCAGCCAUGCCGCGUGAGUGAUGAAGGUCUUAGGAUUGUAAAGCUCUUUCGGCGGGGACGAUAAUGACGGUACCCGCAGAAGAAGCCCCGGCUAACUUCGUGCCAGCAGCCGCGGUAAUACGAAGGGGGCUAGCGUUGUUCGGAAUUACUGGGCGUAAAGCGCACGUAGGCGGACAUUUAAGUCAGGGGUGAAAUCCCGGGGCUCAACCCCGGAACUGCCUUUGAUACUGGGUGUCUUGAGUGUGGAAGAGGUGAGUGGAAUUGCGAGUGUAGAGGUGAAAUUCGUAGAUAUUCGCAGGAACACCGGUGGCGAAGGCGGCUCACUGGUCCACAACUGACGCUGAGGUGCGAAAGCGUGGGGAGCAAACAGG